UAUAAGUCUCAAGUUGUAAGAGGGACUUUGCUUGUGAAGCCUAGUGACCACUUUUUCUGGUUUAACUGGCCCAAAUUGCUUCUCCAUAUUCUGCACUUCACACUGUAUCAGAAUUCAUUUCAAUUGGCAUUCUUCACUUGGACUUGGUACAAAUUUGGUUUGACAUCAUGCUUCCAUCGAGAAACUGAGGAUAUAGUAAUACGGCUAGCCAUGGGUAUCAUGGUACU